GAUGAACGCUGGCGGCGUGCUUAACACAUGCAAGUCGAACGAAGAUGCCGGAGUGCUUGCACUUUGGCAGACUGAGUGGCGGACGGGUGAGUAACGCGUGGGUAACCUGCCUUAUACAGGGGGAUAACAGUUGGAAACGACUGCUAAUACCGCAUAAGCGCACGGUAUCGCAUGAUACAGUGUGAAAAACUCCGGUGGUAUAAGAUGGACCCGCGUCUGAUUAGCUUGUUGGUGAGGUAACGGCCCACCAAGGCGACGAUCCGAUAGCCGACCUGAGAGGGUGACCGGCCACAUUGGGACUGAGACACGGCCCAAAUCCUACGGGAGGCAGCAGUGGGGAAUAUUGCACAAUGGGCGAAGCCUGAUGCAGCGACGCCGCGUGAGCGAGAAGUAUUCGGUAUGUAAAGCUCUAUCAGCAGGGAAGAUAAUGACGGUACCUGACUAAGAAGCACCGGCUAAAAUACGUAGCCAGCAGCCG
rnacentral:rRNA from 1 species